rnacentral:rRNA from 1 species
UACGAGGGGUGCAAGCGUUGUCCGGAUUUAUUGGGCGUAAAGCGAACGUAGGCGGCUUCUUAAGUUUGGUCUUAAAGACCGGGGCUCAACCCCGGGAAUGGACUGAAUACUGGGAGGCUAGAGGAUGUCAGAGGAAAGUGGAAUUCCUAGUGUAGCGGUGAAAUGCGUAGAUAUUAGGAGGAACACCAGUGGCGAAAGCGACUUUCUGGGACAUUUCUGACGCUGAGGUUCGAAAGCUCGGGGAGCAAACAGG